rnacentral:rRNA from 1 species
CCUACGGGUGGCAGCAGUGAGGAAUAUUGGUCAAUGGACGAGAGUCUGAACCAGCCAAGUAGCGUGAAGGAUGACUGCCCUAUGGGUUGUAAACUUCUUUUAUAUGGGAAUAAAACAGGGUAUGCAUACCAUCUUGUAUGUACCAUAUGAAUAAGGAUCGGCUAACUCCGUGCCAGCAGCCGAGGUAAGACGGAGGAUCCGAGCGUUAUCCGGAUUUAUUGGGCUUAAAGGGAGCGUAGGUGGAUUGUUAAGUCAGUUGUGAAAGUUUGCGGCUCAACCGUAGAAUUGCAUUUGAAACUGGCAGUCUUGAGUACAGUAGAGGUGGGCGGAAUUCGUGGUGUAGCGGUGAAAUGCUUAGAUAUCACGAAGAACUCCGAUUGCGAAGGCAGCUCUCUGGACUGCAACUGACACUGAUGCUCGAAAGUGUGGGUAGCAAACAGGAUUAGAUACCCUAGUAGUC